GUCCAAUUGACGAGUCCAAAAUAGGACGAAAUGUUGGUCCUAGAU
rnacentral:hammerhead_ribozyme from 1 species